AAGAAGAUUCUCAGAGGGCGGAGCCAGAGAGCAGUGAUUGGUCAGACUGACUGAGAGCCAGAGAGCAGUGAUUGGUCAGACCAUAGAUAUACAGAAGACAGCGCGCUAGCGGAUGUAGUCUGCUAUAUAUAUAUAUCUAUGGUCGGCACGUCUGGUAGCAUCUCAGGCUGCUGCUGACCUUGUUUUUGGAGUAAAACACGGUGGAAGCUGAAUUAGUGAGGAUGACUCCAGCUCCUGUCAUCUCUAAGCUCCUCACACAUCUUUACCUGCACAUGAGGAAAAUCACUCCUGUAGAAUGCAGAUGCACAAUGAGGGACGUCUGCAGAGACUGAGAAAGAGUCUCACCACAUCCUGACAUGAGGAAAAAGAUUUUAUUGAAGACUACAAUGAGAAAAACUAUCAGACAGCAGACGGCUGCAUUCAAGGUGAGCUCUGAACAUUUGAUCUGGAACAGGAAUUCAAUCACGGCAGCAUGAGCUUCAUUUCAGUCUGUAGCUGCUGAAUUCAUGGAUGAAUCAUCUGGCACUAGAGAGGAAGACCAUCAAACACCACGUCAGCUGAUGGAGGUCCAAGAGUCUCACCCAACAAACAACCUACAGAGUGAAGACCUCCAAUCUGAUUGGACGGCCUCCUAUUCAGCCACGUGUGAACAAAUGCCUCUAAGCUGAUUUGUUUUCUAAAAUAAAUCUAGUUUGAGUCCUAA